rnacentral:rRNA from 1 species
GAUGAACGCUAGCGGCAGGCUUAACACAUGCAAGUCGAGGGGCAGCGUGAUGAAGUAGCAAUACGGAUUUGACGGCGACCGGCGCACGGGUGCGUAACGCGUAUGUAACCUACCUUUAACAGGGGGAUAACACUGAGAAAUUGGUACUAAUACCCCAUAACACUUUGAGAGGCAUCUCUUGGAGUUGAAAGUUCCGGCGGUUAAAGAUGGACAUGCGUUGUAUUAGCUAGAUGGUGAGGUAACGGCUCACCAUGGCGACGAUACAUAGGGGGACUGAGAGGUUAACCCCCCACACUGGUACUGAGACACGGACCAGACUCCUACGGGAGGCAGCAGUGAGGAAUAUUGGUCAAUGGACGCAAGUCUGAACCAGCCAUGCCGCGUGCAGGAUGACGGCUCUAUGAGUUGUAAACUGCUUUUGUAUGAGGGUAAAAUUAGAUACGUGUAUCUAACUGCAAGUAUCAUACGAAUAAGGAUCGGCUAACUCC